GCGACCCCAAGUCAAGCGGGAUUACCCGCUGAGUUUAAGCAUAUCCAUUAGCCGGAAGAAA
rnacentral:rRNA from 1 species